rnacentral:lncRNA from 1 species
GCAGAGACUUGCUUCUGAAAGGAUGGUCGCUGAGGCCGUUUCUUCAUGAGUUUUAGUAUUCUAGUCUAGUGAGACACACAGGGAGACGAGCAAACAAGACUUCAGUGUGAGCCCAUCGAUUGCUGAAGGGACCCUCGUCUGGCAACAUCAUUCCUGCAUUUUGAGGUCAGCAGUUCUCAGGAAGCUAGGCUGGCUCAGUGCUUGGGAUCUGCAGUGGAAGCUGACGCUCCCCACCAAUCAUCCAGUGAGCACAGGCAAUUCUAUCUUCCCACUGCUCUAAUGAUAAUGCAUUCCUUCCCUUUGAAACACUUAAUUUUCAGAUUUUGAUAACUUCUGCCCACCUUAACUCCUAUCAAUCAGACUUUAUGUAACAGCACUGUGUUUGGUUCCUGAAAUGAAAUAUAUUCUUCAGAACAGCUAUAAGUGGAACAGGCUCAGAAAGAAGAGUGGAUGUCAAAUACUGUUUGUCAUAUCCUAGUAAGAAGUAGACUUUCAUAUGUAACACAUGAUCCCAGUGUAGCUUGAUAUAAAUGGAAGAUUUAAGUGAAAGAGGUCUAUAAUUUUGUUGGCAAAAUAAAGAGAAAUUUCCCUUAUGCUAAGACCAAGUAGCCAAAAGUAUCUCUGAAAAUGGUAGACCUAAUUCAAUGAAAAUCCCUCUGAAAUUCUACCAGAGCUUUCGUGAUUGUGUUAGUGAAACUCAUCAGGUAAGGCUGGAGCUAUGAGGAUUCUCAUCAUUAACUUAAUGGGGUUUGAGACUCAGAUGCUUGAAAAUGUGUAAGGUGGUUUGCUGAUUUAAUGUGAAACCGGAACUGUUGCCACCAGCCGCUCCUACCCACCCCAUGUCCUGCCAUUCCCAUUGUAAGACAUGUGUUAAUGAGAACUGAAUAUCAUGUGAUGGCAUCAUUGGAUCAGUUUGGGAGCCAUUAUCAUACCACCCAUGUGUGCUUGCUUUUGCCGUUAUGUAUUUUCUGGUGAGCAGUUGGAGUUCUUCCUUCAGUUACGAAGUGUGAGUUAAUAGAUGACACUCUAUCCUAGACACUAGGUGGCGGCAGACUGCUGAGAUAAACCAUUACCCAAGGGACCGAGAGGCUCAAACCUGUUCCCCAAUACUCAAAAGGCAGAUGAAAAUGGCAGGUGGAUAAAACUGAAUGGUAUGAAACAACACACGCAAGAUUGCAAAUUUUCAAAGGCAUGAAUCACUAUUGCAUCCCCCAAAAUCGUGUGAAGCUGCUUAAAGCUAACUUUACUUUCUUUAAAACGUCCUGGAGCAGUUAUCACCCAAUGGCCCUAAUACCGUAUCCAGUUUUGUUACAUCUCUGAAGUCAAAGGUAGACACCCAGAUAUCAUAGCUUCUCUCAUUUAUCAUGAAGGGUUAACUCUAAAUCUGUAUUUUCAACCAAUCUCUUUUUUUUGUUUUAAACAUGUUUAUAGUUGUUUUAAGUGGUAAUAUUUAAGUUCAAAUAAUUAAUAGCAAUAUUUAUUAAUACUAUCAGCCCAAUGCUUGAGUAAAAAUGCUGAAAAAAGUAUAAGAUGUUCAACUGUGUGCAAAGCACCACUGAAUGUUUUCUAAGAAUAUUAAUUUCUUAUGAAAGACUAAUAAUAGAUUGUCAAUAUAGUUUUAAAUAUUAAAUAUAGAACCAAAUAAGAUUUGACAAUGAGAAUUUAAAGACCAUCAUACUGUAUUGGUGCACAUGACAUUCUAAUUUUCAGUUUUUUUCCUAUAAAUGUUUCCUGUAAUAUGUCUUUGUGAAUUGUUUUUUCCACUCAGUUUUAACUCCUAAUCAGACCCAGCCCCACCUUGGAGAAGUCAACAUCUUUAAGAUGUGGAACAUUUUAAGAUUUAUUUAAACUGAUGACCAGCUAAAG